rnacentral:tRNA from 1 species
GGAGGGCCAUGGCUCAGUGGUACAGCAUCUACUUUGCAUGCAGGUAGGUCUCAGGAUCAAUCCCCAGCAUCUCCA